rnacentral:rRNA from 1 species
CAGGCCUAACACAUGCAAGUCGAGCGAUCGCAGCAAUGCGGGAGCGGCAGACGGGUGAGUAACACGUGGGAACGUACCCUUCGGUUCGGAAUAACUCAGGGAAACUUGAGCUAAUACCGGAUACGUCCGAGAGGAGAAAGAUUUAUCGCCGAAGGAUCGGCCCGCGUCUGAUUAGCUAGUUGGUGAGGUAACGGCUCACCAAGGCGACGAUCAGUAGCUGGUCUGAGAGGAUGAUCAGCCACAUUGGGACUGAGACACGGCCCAAACUCCUACGGGAGGCAGCAGUGGGGAAUAUUGGACAAUGGGCGCAAGCCUGAUCCAGCCAUGCCGCGUGAGUGAUGAAGGCCUUGAGGGUUGUAAAGCUCUUUUCACCUGGGCAACACAAGAAGGUGACCAGGGGGAAGA